UGAGACACGGUCCAGACUCCUACGGGAGGCAGCAGUGGGGAAUAUUGCACAAUGGGCGAAAGCCUGAUGCAGCAACGCCGCGUGAGGGACGACGGCCUUCGGGUUGUAAACUCUUUUAGCAGGGAAGAAGCGAAAGUGACGGUACCUGCAGAAAAAGCACCGGCUAACUACGUGCCAGCAGCCGCGGUAAUACGUAGGGUGCAAGCGUUGUCCGGAAUUAUUGGGCGUAAAGAGCUCGUAGGCGGUUUGUCGCGUCUGCUGUGAAAUCCCGAGGCUCAACCUCGGGUCUGCAGUGGGUACGGGCAGACUAGAGUGCGGUAGGGGAGAUUGGAAUUCCUGGUGUAGCGGUGGAAUGCGCAGAUAUCAGGAGGAACACCGAUGGCGAAGGCAGAUCUCUGGGCCGUAACUGACGCUGAGGAGCGAAAGGGUGGGGAGCAAACAGGCUUAGAUACCCUGGUAGUCCACCCCGUAAACGUUGGGCGCUAGAUGUGGGGACCAUUCCACGGUUUCCGUGUCGUAGCUAACGCAUUAAGCGCCCCGCCUGGGGAGUACGGCCGCAAGGCUAAAACUCAAAGGAAUUGACGGGGGCCCGCACAAGCGGCGGAGCAUGCGGAUUAAUUCGAUGCAACGCGAAGAACCUUACCAAGGCUUGACAUAUACGAGAACGGGCCAGAAAUGGUCAACUCUUUGGACACUCGUAAACAGGUGGUGCAUGGUUGUCGUCAGCUCGUGUCGUGAGAUGUUGGGUUAAGUCCCGCAACGAGCGCAACCCUCGUUCUAUGUUGCCAGCACGUAAUGGUGGGAACUCAUGGGAUACUGCCGGGGUCAACUCGGAGGAAGGUGGGGACGACGUCAAAUCAUCAUGCCCCUUAUGUCUUGGGCUUCACGCAUGCUACAAUGGCCAGUACAAAGGGCUGCAAUACCGUAAGGUGGAGCGAAUCCCAAAAAGCUGGUCCCAGUUCGGAUUGAGGUCUGCAACUCGACCUCAUGAAGUCGGAGUCGCUAGUAAUCGCAGAUCAGCAACGCUGCGGUGAAUACGUUCCCGGGCCUUGUACACACCGCCCGUCAAGUCAUGAAAGUCGGUAACACCCGAAGCCAGUGGCCUAACCGCAAGGAAGGAG
rnacentral:rRNA from 1 species